rnacentral:misc_RNA from 1 species
GGAAGUAAAAGCCGUAACAAGGUCUCCGUUGGUGAACCAGCGGAGGGAUCAUUACCGAUUUUAUUAUAACUCCUAAACCCAUGUGAUCCUACCUUCUGUUGCCUCGGCAGGCAAAUCGUAUCUUGCUACCCUAUAGGACCCUAUCUUGUAAGACGUUACUUUAUAAGGUCCUAUCCGGUAGAGAGAUGCGGUACUACCUGCUGGUAUACUGAAAAAAAAAUUCUAUUUAAUAUAUGUGAUUCUGAAUCACUAUAUGGAAAUCAAGUUAAAACUUUCAACAACGGAUCUCUUGGUUCUG